AUGAUCUCUACAUCCCUACUGCUGCUGCUGCUGGCAGCCGUACACUGUGUUCACUGUGUUGAGCUGAUCCAGACCGGAUCCACAGUAUUAACUCCUGGUCAGUCACUGACUCUGACCUGUAAAGUGUCUGGAUAUUCAUUAACUGAUAGCAGCUACUGGACACACUGGAUACGACAACCUGCCGGAAAAACUCUGGAGUGGAUCGGAUAUAUAACUCAUACUGGUGGCACUGUCUACAGUGAGAAACUGAAAAGCAGGUUUCAGGUUUCCAGAGACACGUCCAGCAGCACAGUGACAUUAACAGGACAGAACAUGCAGACUGAAGACACAGCUGUGUAUUACUGCGCUCGUGAUCCACAGUGAGACAAAUAAACAACAUCCCUGUACAAAAACUCCAAGUAAACUGAAACAGUGCUAGCUCCCAACAUUCUCCUUCAUUAAAAGAUAAUUAAUAAUGAUAACAAUUCUGAUUGCAGCACCAGAGCAUCAUGGACAAUUUGACAGUCGGUAUCUGAUUACAAACUGAAUUGAUUAGGCUCAUGUUCAUUUCACUCUGAUGCACAGCUAUCAAUAUCUGACAUUCACUCUGUGAGGAAAUCACACUUACAGCAAGGUUUUACAAAUCUUCAGACAGACUGACUGUUUGUUGAAUUCACUCCUUACACAGGAUUUUUACAUUAACAUAUCUGAACCUGUAUUACACAGUCAAUAGAAACAGUUUCAUGAAUGGUUUCUUAACACUGAGGUUUUUUUCACUUCCAAAAUUCUCCUUUAACUGCAUCUGAUGAGUUUUCCCAGAAAAUCACACACAUCCAUUUUCAUUUUUCAUCACAUUUAACAACUUCCUUAAUGAAAUAAUAAAUGAUUACAUAAAAAAUGAAAGAAAAUUAAAAAUUCCAAACAUUUGAACAGUUGUGCAAAUUUUGUUCCAUUUUUUUAUUAACAGUCAACUGAAAAGUUUACUCAAUCUUUGAACUGUAUACUGUAUAUUUAACCUGCACACACAUUAGAAAUGUUUGAACAUUAUACUUUUUGUUAAGAUUUAAGGCCUGUGAUGGUUGUUUUUUCUUUAUUCACACAACAUCUA